UCCUAAGGAUCUGCAAAACUUGAACGAGACACGAUGCAAAUGUACUCAGUGAAGCAGCAAGUCUUGCCUUUGUCUUGUGUGCGUGAAUGUAUCCCAACUCAGACGCUGCUUUGUCAGCGACUCCGCGGAUGUGGAACAGUGGUCGUUCUGAAUCGUUUGGAUUAGCAGAGCAUUGGUCAUCCUUUGCUGCCAUCUCUUUGUAACUGAAUUCUUGAGGUCAAGGUGAGGGUCUGAUGGUACCACUGGGAAUACUGGGCUAAUUCUUUCGGUGUAGGAACAGCUCAGUGCCAGUCACUUCAUGGACAAAAUAAAAACCUGUGGGUAAAUCAGCUUGGAUGAAAUAGGAGCUACUCCCGUUCUCGCCAAGACGUAGAGGACCUGAUGGGAAUGAAACUGGACAAGAUCCUGCAAUACGUGAAGAAUUUAAAGGCAUAACUUUGCUAUUUGCUCGGUCCUGUGAUAUAGCCCAGAGCAAGCUUGACGUAAUGAUGAUGAUUAAAUGGGUUGAAAGACUCAGAACCUGCUCCUUUACCCGGCGUGUUUCCUGUGUGGCACCCAGCUCUGUUAUUUGGAAGGAGCAGCCGAGCUCCUCUGAAGCGUUACCUUGCUGUUUGGUACAAAUGAAAAUGCUGCUGCUGAAUUAACAGUAGAGCCUUCCCCGGCGGUUCGUACUUGUGAGGAUAUGUCUUUUGAAACUCAACAGUAAAUCAUUAUUUGUGCUUUGGGAAAUGGGAGAGACAAGUUCAUGUACGUUUCUUACCUACGGAGGGAUCUAUCCAGGUGCUCAUAUGCUCUCCCGUUACUGUAAUACAUGGUUUAUUUCACCAGCCUGUGUAUCUCUCAGAGAAAUGGACCUAUCAAUUUAUGUAGGCAUUUGUAGUCCUCCUUCCAUUUCUGAAAUAGCUACUGUAUUUCAACCAUUUAUGUUCUGCACUAAACCCUUUUUUUGUUCAGAAAAUAUUUUUGGUAUAGCCUUAAAACGUAAAUUGCAGCUGAUAUAGUUAUAGAAGCAUAACCUGCUCUGUAAAUUUUCUCAGUCUGGAGUAAAAAUGUCUUUUUUGGUUUAGCUAAGGUUUUUUGGAAAGCAUCUUAAGCCAAUUAAAAAAAUCAAACCCCACAGUUACAUCAAGCUCUGAAUGCCCACAAGUGAGGCUUACCUUGCUUUUUAGCUAUACCUAGUAUACUUCUGAGCCGUAGGCAUACCUGGCUGAAUUUGCUAUCUAGGCAGGGUCUGACACUGCUGGGUCUGUGGCAAUGAAGCACCCAAGGGUGUUGGGGACGUUCAGCCCU